UACGUAGGGACCAAGCGUUGUCCGGAAUUAUUGGGCGUAAAGAGCUCGUAGGCGGUCUGUCACGUCGGCUGUGAAAACCCGAGGCUCAACCUCGGGCCUGCAGUCGAUACGGGCAGACUAGAGUUCGGUAGGGGAGACUGGAAUUCCUGGUGUAGCGGUGAAAUGCGCAGAUAUCAGGAGGAACACCGGUGGCGAAGGCGGGUCUCUGGGCCGAAACUGACGCUGAGGUGCGAAAGCGUGGGGAGCAAACAGG
rnacentral:rRNA from 1 species